rnacentral:rRNA from 1 species
AGAGUUUGAUCAUGGCUCAGAAUCAACGCUGGCGGCGUGCCUAACACAUGCAAGUCGAACGCGAAAGUCCCGCAAGGGAUAAGUAGAGUGGCAAACGGGCGAGUAACACGUGGGUGACCUGCCUUCGAGCGGGGGAUAACGUCCCGAAAGGGACGCUAAUACCGCAUGACAUCCUGCCUUUGAAGAGGUGGAGAUCAAAGCUGGGGAUCGCAAGACCUAGCACUCGAAGAGGGGCCCGCGCCUGAUUAGCUAGUUGGUGGGGUAACGGCUCACCAAGGCAACGAUCAGUAGCCGGCCUGAGAGGGCGGACGGCCACACUGGGACUGAGACACGGCCCAGACUCCUACGGGAGGCAGCAGUGGGGAAUUGUUCGCAAUGGGCGCAAGCCUGACGACGCAACGCCGCGUGGAGGACGAAGACCUUCGGGUCGUAAACUCCUUUCGAUCGAGACGAAUGGCCUCCGGGUGAACAAUCCGGAGGAAUGACGGUACCGAGAGAAGAAGCCCCGGCUAACUCCGUGCCAGCAGCCGCGGUAAUACGGGGGGGGCAAGCGUUGUUCGGAAUUACUGGGCGUAAAGGGCUCGUAGGUGGCCAACUAAGUCAGACGUGAAAUCCCUCGGCUUAACCGGGGAACUGCGUCUGAUACUGGAUGGCUUGAGAUUGGGAGAGGGAUGCGGAAUUCCAGGUGUAGCGGUGAAAUGCGUAGAUAUCUGGAGGAACACCGGUGGCGAAGGCGGCAUCCUGGACCAACACUGACACUGAGGAGCGAAAGCCAGGGGAGCAAACGGGAUUAGAUACCCUAGUAGUCC